UAGGGAAUCUUCGGCAAUGGACGAAAGUCUGACCGAGCAACGCCGCGUGAGUGAAGAAGGUUUUCGGAUCGUAAAACUCUGUUGUUAGAGAAGAACAAGGACGUUAGUAACUGAACGUCCCCUGACGGUAUCUAACCAGAAAGCCACGGCUAACUACGUGCCAGCAGCCGCGGUAAUACGUAGGUGGCAAGCGUUGUCCGGAUUUAUUGGGCGUAAAGCGAGCGCAGGCGGUUUCUUAAGUCUGAUGUGAAAGCCCCCGGCUCAACCGGGGAGGGUCAUUGGAAACUGGGAGACUUGAGUGCAGAAGAGGAGAGUGGAAUUCCAUGUGUAGCGGUGAAAUGCGUAGAUAUAUGGACGAACACCAGUGGCGAAGGCGGCUCUCUGGUCUGUAACUGACGCUGAGGCUCGAAAGCGUGGGGAGCAAACAGG
rnacentral:rRNA from 2 species